UCUCUGGUGGUCAAGUGGUUAAAACACUGCACUUCUACUACAGGAAGCACAGGUUUGACCCCUGCUCAGAGAA
rnacentral:tRNA from 1 species